UGGGGAAUUUUGGACAAUGGGCGAAAGCCUGAUCCAGCAAUGCCGCGUGUGUGAAGAAGGCCUUCGGGUUGUAAAGCACUUUUGUCCGGAAAGAAAUCCUUGGCUCUAGUACAGUCGGGGGAUGACGGUACCGGAAGAAUAAGCACCGGCUAACUACGUGCCAGCAGCCGCGGUAAUACGUAGGGUGCAAGCGUUAAUCGGAAUUACUGGGCGUAAAGCGUGCGCAGGCGGUUUGCUAAGACCGAUGUGAAAUCCCCGGGCUCAACCUGGGAACUGCAUUGGUGACUGGCAGGCUAGAGUAUGGCAGAGGGGGGUAGAAUUCCACGUGUAGCAGUGAAAUGCGUAGAGAUGUGGAGGAAUACCGAUGGCGAAGGCAGCCCCCUGGGCCAAUACUGACGCUCAUGCACGAAAAGCGUGGGGGAGCAAACAGGAUUAGAUACCCUGGUAGUCCACGCCCUAAACGAUGUCAACUAGUUGUUGGGGAUUCAUUUCCUUAGUAACGUAGCUAACGCGUGAAGUUGACCGCCUGGGGAGUACGGUCGCAAGAUUAAAACUUAAAGGAAUUGACGGGGU
rnacentral:rRNA from 1 species